AAAGAGCUCGUAGGCGGCUUGUCGCGUCGACCGUGAAAACUUGGGGCUCAACCCCAAGCCUGCGGUCGAUACGGGCAGGCUAGAGUUCGGUAGGGGAGACUGGAAUUCCUGGUGUAGCGGUGAAAUGCGCAGAUAUCAGGAGGAACACCGGUGGCGAAGGCGGGUCUCUGGGCCGAUACUGACGCUGAGGAGCGAAAGCGUGGGGAGCGAACAGGAUUAGAUACCCUGGUAGUCCACGCUGUAAACGUUGGGCGCUAGGUGUGGGGGGCCUCUCCGGUUCCCUGUGCCGCAGCUAACGCAUUAAGCGCCCCGCCUGGGGAGUACGGCCGCAAGGCUAAAACUCAAAGGAAUUGACGGGGGCCCGCACAAGCGGCGGAGCAUGCGGAUUAAUUCGAUGCAACGCGAAGAACCUUACCUGGGUUUGACAUGGCCGCAAAACCUCCAGAGAUGGGG
rnacentral:rRNA from 1 species